UCGUUAGGGGUUUAUAUGACCUUUGAUAUGGACCGAAAUCCAGUGACGGACUAAUCAGUCAAUAUUAGAAAAGCUAAGGAGGAUAAGGUAAUUAGGUCUAAUGUUUCACACACCAGUGAGGAAGGAUUAGGGUUUCCAAAUCGCCAAUUGCGGACCAUCCCCACCAUUAUAAAUUCCGUCUGAUAGCUCCCUACUGUUUUGUUCUUCCCCUGCUUCUCAAGUUUCUCUACGACUUCGUUCUAAUUUGAUUCUUCAGUUCGUUCCCUUGCGAUCCAAGGAGGUCACUGUGGGUUCAUUUCAGGAGCCUUCAAGGCUCUGAUAGAUAAGUUUACGCCUUUAGUGUUCUUCAGAUUUUCUUUUUGGUCCUGGUUCAAGAUUUUUCUGUUUGAUAUCAGUGAUUUGUCGAUAGUUGGAUCUACAGAAACAAAUUCUCAAAAUGGCCGGUGAUGGAUAAAAAUUAUCCGUGUCUUCUGAGAUAUUUUAAUAGAUUCAUUGAUGUUUAUUUUUUCUACCUCUAGCUUCUGAGGCCAUUUCAUAGUUUUACCUGCAGAUCUCUUAUUCUCAUUCUCUACUGACGAACUUUUUUUUUCUUUUUUUCUUUCUGUUAAUUCGUUUAAAUUUUGUUAGACAGGGGCGAUGACGAUGAUUAUACCAUCAAACUUUGAAAGCUUUAUAUUGUUUAUUAUUAACUGUGUAGGUAAUGGAGAAAUGGAUGUGAGAUGGAGAAUGAGAGGGAAAGGCAACAAAUUAGAGUCUCUGAUGCGCUCUUUGCUAUAGCGUAUUCAGCGCUGUACGUUGCCGAUAGAGAAUCGAAAGGAGAUUCUGGCAUUCGUCGCUUUAUCAUCGGCGUAUGCAUUCAGAUAUUCGAACAUUCCAUCCCUCGAUAGAUUCUAAAUUCUAAAUUCCAAAUACUGCGCAGCUUUUUCAUUUUAUUUGAACUUUCUUUCUUUUUAGGGUUCUUGGAUGUUUCAAGUUUCAAUUUUUUUUUUUAUAACGAUUUUUAAGCAGUUUAUGGUUAGGAAGAAAUUUGGUUCAAGGCAAGUCAGCUUCUUGUCUGGACUUAGAUUGCUUUAUACGGUUCAGACAAUUUAUUAUUCGAAAACUUGCUAUAUUGAUUCUUCGGUUUCACUCGCCUGGAUCUGAACCUCUGAUUUUUCAGGCCCUUGAACACCGGAACAUAUCUUUUAGAUCAUGGAUCUGAUUUUUUAAGAUUUUUGAUAUAUUGAAUUUGAAAAAAAAAAAAAUGAGUAAGUUGUUAUUUGAUGGAAAGUUAUUGGCAAACGCACUCUGUCCCUAAACUGUAUCAAGUGUUUUGAGGCAAUUUCUUCGUUUGCCAUAGUAAAGUUUAGUUUAUCUUUCAAAUUCAUUUGCCUGUAUUAUUGAGAAUGGUUUAUCCUUUCCAUGAUUUUAUUGGCACAUGAUUGAGAAAUACAUUUUGUCACAUGGUGGUUGAUGAAUUGAAUUGGAUAAUAUCUUGAAGAAUCUGAUUAAAUUAUUGAAUUCAUAUUUGACAAGUGCUUUUACAUGUCUGGCAGAUUUAAGAACUUUGUUCGGAUAUCGGAUUUGAUAGGACUUGAUGAAGGGAUUUUAUCCGUUUAAAACCUUGGAGAAUGGAGACUACAAGAUUACCUUGACAGGUACAGAAAAAUUUUUGAAGUACGCUGGAAAAAAUUAUUGAUGAUACAAAGAAGAGGGAUAAAUCAAUGUUGAUCCAAUGUGAAAUAUUUUACGAUCCUCUAGAUUCAUGGUUUUAAAAAUUGGAUUGGAUUAGAUCGACAUAAAACCUAAAGAGAAAGGGAUAAAUCUUUCUGAUCCAUAUAAAACCAGAUUCAUGGUUUUAAAAAUUGGAUUGGAUUAGAUCGACAUAAAACCUAAAGAGAAAGGGAUAAAUCUUUCUGAUCCAUAUAAAACCAUGGCUGAAAUUGGUUUCUGGAACCCUAGAAUUGACAUUUUAUUUGCAGUUCUUUUAUUGUAUUCACUAAAAUCAUAUAUUAUUGUCAUAGGGGACCUGAUCACCAUUGCCUUUCUGUUAAUUGCCAUGUGUAAAGAGACAAUAUGGCGGUCUAGAUAAUGGAAAAAUAAGUACAAACAAUACACAGAUUUAUGAGUAUUCACACAA